UGUAUGUACCAGCGAAGCAGCACUGUCCAUGCAUCUGCUCGUGACAAGCGAGUCACCAAUAUUAAGUUUCUACAUGACUAAGAAGAAACUGAGCUCGGCUUCUAGUCACAACAAAGGAUUGGUACAGAUAAAAGGGUCAAAAUGAAUACUGCGGAAGAAAUGAAGUGUUUUUAUGAUAUCCUCAGAUCUCCAAGAAGCUAGACUUCGUAACUUUUUUACUUUUAAUACAUAUGGCAAUGUUUGUUUUCAGUUUAAUACAAUAUUUGUAUUGUUUAAUUAUUAGCUACUUAAAUUUUGAUAUUUUGUUUUGUUGAUUCACAAUUACACCUUUCUUUAUGUGAUAUGAAAUGCUUACUGAAUCACUUUGCUUCAUUACUGCAACUUCAUACAGUUUUAGUCUCAAAGUAAAUGCAGAGUUAAACUCUAUUAUAUUGAUAUUCAAAGAAGACAUUAAUUUUGUCAUUGUAGGCAUCAUCAUAGCUCUUCAGUAAAAGGUCAUAUCUUUCUUUGUUGGUCUAUUUAAAAACAGUGUGUUGAUAAAUUAUGUAGCAAUGAGCGAGAAAUAACGGGUUGAUAAUGAAGAGUGGAUAGAUAAGGAUGUGAGAAGAAGUGACUGGGUAUUACUACAUGCAAAGUAGAAUAAUUUUAAUCUUGCAUCUUCAUCCAGUGCGUGAGGGUCAUUAUGUAACAUCAGAGAAUCAAGAUUAUUUGUUCUCCAAGAAUUUCUAUCAAAAUGAUAGUUAUACAAGAAGUUCCGGCAAGAACGUAUGAUUCAUACCUUACUUCAGAUUCUUCAAUAUACAUGGUGAGUCUGGGAAGAUUUAUAAAUCAGUAAGCUUACAUUUCUACAGUUAAAUAAUACAUCCCUCAUUAGUUUUUCUAAAGUAUGGAUUUAGGCUACAAUAAAUUUUCUUCGUUUGACAUCAAAGUUUUGUGACAUCUUAUAUUUGUAGUAAUAAAAAGAUGAAGAAUAAGAGAGUUUAGGUGUAGUGUCACACAUUCUUAACAAGAUGGAGGUGGUUGGUCAGCAUCACACUCUAUCUGAUUUAACCCAGAGGAAGAGUCACAAGUAACCACUGGAUAUGAUGUUGGGUAAGUCCCAGAGCCAGUUUGGACAUAAUGAAAAGGAGAAAAAUCCCUGCCCUAAUUAGGAAUUUAACUCCCAUUGUCCAUCCUGUAGCCACUUGCUGUAAUGAUUGAGCUAUCGUGGUUCAUAUUUGGAAUUGUUAAUGCACCAAAUGUGUAAGUAUUAGCACAUUUAUGGUCUCAACAUGAUCAUUAUUCAUUCAUUAUUCAUCAGCAAAGAGAAGCCUUCAUAUAGAUUUUGAGCAGCUACCAUGUUAUUAUGUUAUUUUCCACAAAGAAAAAUGUUAUCUUCAAAACUUGCAUAUUGGUGGAUCACCUCAUAACACUUCAGACUCAAACACUAAUGUGCUAGUAAUAGUGUUUGUGUCACUAGCACCUUACAAAUUUGCAAGGGUGUCCAACUGGCAUUAUUUGUAGUUGGAAAUUAUGAAAGUAUAAAGGUGAGGUUGUCUUAACAGCAUGUUGUUUAUACCAGGCAUCUUGAAAAGUCAUCUGUUAUAUCAGAAGUUGUUAAAGGGAGUCAAACACGUGGACAUGAAGCAUGUGAGUGUAUCAUGAAGAAGCAUAGGCCGGAAAUGUCCCCGCAUGGCAAAUGACAAAUUUGUCAGUGUUUGUCAGGGCACGCUCCUUUGUACUGAAGUGCUAACUGAGAUUCGUAAAUGUUUUGUUGGAUCCAUCACUGAGGCAGUACUCAAAAUGUCAUGUUGAGCAACAUCUUUGUAACUUAGUUUAACUUUGGUCUUGUAUUUUUGAAAUCAUAGAAGCAUAGUGCUGAACUGAAUAUGCAUGAUGUCUUUAAACCUGUCUAAAUAUUUUGUAAAUUGUUUAGUUAAGUGACCUUUAAUGGGACUAGGAUCAUAGACAGCUAAAAACUUCAGUGCAUAAAUGAAAUGAAUUGCCCUGGUAUCUUUCUACAUACAAUAAUUUGUAGAUCACGGUGUUCAUAGAAGUAUCUGACACGACAGAAGAAUGAGUGUUUUUUUACUUUAGACCACGCUAUACAUUAUUAUUAGCCCUGCUAAUCCAGUACAUGGAAUAAUUUAAGAACUUCUUUUAGAUUGUUCAGAGAUGCUUAAGUUUGAUAAAACUAUAUGAUCUUCAUUCAGUAAUCUGAUAUAAACAAAGACAGAAACAAAGAUAUGGGAAAGAAUCAAAAUAUUGAGAUUUGAGAUUUUUGUAGUGGUAAAAAUGUGGAUUAUAGUCUUCAUGGCUGUGACAUUGUGUAGUCUUGUAGGUGGUUAUGUAAGAUUUGAAGCUUUUGUAGGGACUACAGUGAAGUCUUCUUGGGUGAUCAGCCAUGUGAAAAUGGCAUUGUAAUCCAUUGUUCUGGAGACUUUCUCUACCUCCAUCAUUAGGGUUGACAAUCUCUGAAAUGCACCAUUCUCACAUAACUCAUCACUCAGGAGUAUUUGAUUGUAGGUGGUUAUCAGUGAUUUAGAGGAAUGUGUGAAUAUUGUGAUAUUUCCUCUACCUACAAGAGUACAGUGGGUUCAGGUUAAUUGGGACACAUCAGGACUAGAACACUUUGGCGCAGUGAAGCGGCUGCCCCAAUUAUGCAAAUUUCCACGUAAAGAAUUAAAAAGGAUUUUUAUUUAAAAUUUGUCACAAGUAAACAACUGCCCCUGAUUAACCAAUGGCCCAGUUAACCGGAAUCUACUGUACAUGAUAUUAUAACCUACAAGAUCACAACACAAAACCAAAACUGUGCCUUCUUACUUCAACCCAUUCAUUGUUAUGGAUGGAACAGUUGACACAAAAAGCAUUAUGGACAGAAAUGUUAUGCCAAAUUGAGCUUUUAUCAGUUUUAUUAAAAAUGGCUUAUCAUAAAAUAGAUUAUCACACAUAAUAACAUGUUUAUUUAAUUUAGAUCUGAAACUUUUAUUUGGAAUGUUUGUUGGUAUGGGUAAUAUCUAAUGAAAUACAAGCCUUUAUUCCCCCUAUACCCUUUUGGUAGCUUCAGGUCAAAAAAACAUUUGAAUUUCUUGUCUGGAUUUAUUAUAACACAGGAUAAUUUUAAAACUGUUAAGAGAGUUCCUAUGUCUGACACAUGGCAAAUGGUUAUUGGGUUAUAAAGUUAUACAUAUAUUCUUUAUGUUUUAUUUGGAAGAUAACAUUUUAUAGUAUAUUAUAAAACUAUGAAUUUAAAGUUUUCUAAUGUGGUCUCUUUGAUGCACCAGUUACAAAUGGUUGUUGUUAUGCAGGAUAUUAAAUGUAAAUUUAUCAAAAUCCAGGAAUGUUAAUAACAAAGAGAUGGCAGGUGAUUGCAGGGAAGACAAUUUUAUAAGAGAAAAUGUGCCAUUGUUUGCAAUGGCGAACAGUACUGGUAGCAAAAAUAAAUUACCUCCCAAAAGUGGGUUUUUUACAAAUGUCUCAUUCUACACAAGGUCAAAAUUGUGAGGUUAAGUUUAUAAUUUUAUUUAUUACUGCAUUAUUUGUCUCUCUUGUGUCCACUUUAUUUCUUGUUCUUUAUCAGACCCUGUUAAUGGUGAUCUGAAUUGUGAUAUGAUGACACUGUAGGUGGUUGUCAGCAUUUUGAAGGAUUAUAUUACAUCUAUCUUCAGGGUGGUGAUGUAGGUGAUACCUUUCUCAGAAAAACUGGUAACCACCAACACAGUGUCACAAUCCAAGAGACUACCAUUGACAUCUUCACCUCUGUGAGAACCUCAAAUCUCGUGUAAGACCAACUUUCAUACCCACAUGUCUGUGUAUUUUAUUUCAAUUUAGUUGGCAACAUUGUUUUACAUUAUUAUAGAAUGAGCUUUAAUCAGUGUUGGUUUUCAUUGUACAAUCCUCGUCCAGUUAAAUUGUGUGGGUAAAUAUUUUCUUCAGAAUUUUAAAAACUCCAGAAGGAGCACGUGUAUGGAUUUGUCCUGCAUGACAGCAAUACUAUUGUACUCCUGUUCCGAACCCUUUGAUUAGUAAUGUUCUUUGAUAACUGUCAGACACUAGUUGUAAGAUUUUCCACAAAACAUGGAAUUUUGGGACAACUGCUUGUGCAAGUGUGUGAGUGUAUACUGACUCUUCAUUUUAUGAAAGCAAAGUAUUUCUUUGGAAGCUGUUAUUAAAUUAUUAUAAUGCUGAACAGUACAUUUGUAUUGCCACAGAUGUUGGUGGAUGGUGGAUAGCAGGGGUGAUGCUUUACCAGGGGUUUCCCUUUGAAAUUACACAGGAAAUUUCUGAUCUUUGUUCCGAGGCUUAUUUGGACACGAUACGAAGGAGGCAGUAUACAGAGGGGCACCGAGUCAGGAUUUGACUGUAUACGUAGGUAUUUAUGCAUUUAUUGGUUAUAAUAAAAAGUAAUUAAUGAGGGUUUUCUAAUUAAUUAUAGGACUGGAGAAAAGAAACAAAAAUUAAGAGAGAAAACAUUGGUGAAGUUACAUAUUCAAAUUGUGUUAUGCAUGCUAAAUACAGACAUUAAUAAAUUAGAUGUGCUAACAUGAAAAGUCAUUAAUUGAACAUUCUUAAAAUGAAGAGUUAAUGUACUUGUAGAAUUUAAGUUUGUAAAUGUAUUGGCCUCCUUGUAUCCACACACUGUUUGGGCCGCAUGUAAGUGUAUGAAUAUACUUAUCGAAGGGUUACAUUGCCUUGAUGGGACCAGACAUAUAAUUAAGGAAGGGGUUUUCAUUAACAGUUCUAACAUAAUUAUUAUGAAGAUAAAACUGGAGUUACAUUUUUGUAGAUUAGUGCAGCAUUCAAGACGUUUGCUUGAUGAUGGUUCAGAAAUGCAGUAUUUUUAUACAUAAGUAUAUAUGUAGCUUAAUGGAUAAUAGCUUUUAUUUAUUUUAUAUGUGCAAAUACACUUAUUAAAGAUUAUAACACUGUUUUAAGGAACUGCUGAUUGAACUAAAUUUUUAAUAAAUAAAUGGACUCUACUGAU